rnacentral:rRNA from 1 species
UACGUAGGGUGCAAGCGUUGUCCGGAAUUAUUGGGCGUAAAGAGCUCGUAGGCGGUCUGUCACGUCGGCUGUGAAAACCCGGGGCUCAACCCCGGGCCUGCAGUCGAUACGGGCAGACUAGAGUGCGGUAGGGGAGACUGGAAUUCCUGGUGUAGCGGUGAAAUGCGCAGAUAUCAGGAGGAACACCGGUGGCGAAGGCGGCUCACUGGCUCGUAACUGACGCUCAUGCACGACAGCGUGGGGAUCAAACAGG